AUGCACGCUGGCGGCGUGCCUAAUACAUGCAAGUCGAGCGAACGGACGAGAAGCUUGCUUUUCUGAUGUUAGCGGCGGACGGGUGAGUAACACGUGGAUAACCUACCUAUAAGACUGGGAUAACUUCGGGAAACCGGAGCUAAUACCGGAUAAUAUUUUGAACCGCAUGGUUCAAAAGUGAAAGACGGUCUUGCUGUCACUUAUAGAUGGAUCCGCGCUGCAUUAGCUAGUUGGUAAGGUAACGGCUUACCAAGGCAACGAUGCAUAGCCGACCUGAGAGGGUGAUCGGCCACACUGGAACUGAGACACGGUCCAGACUCCUACGGGAGGCAGCAGUAGGGAAUCUUCCGCAAUGGGCGAAAGCCUGACGGAGCAACGCCGCGUGAGUGGUGAAGGUCUUCGGAUCGUAAAACUCUGUUAUUAGGGAAGAACAUAUGUGUAAGUAACUGUGCACAUCUUGACGGUACCUAAUCAGAAAGCCACGGCUAACUACGUG
rnacentral:rRNA from 1 species